AAUAAUUCGACGGAUGUGAAGUCACCGAUAGAUCUAACAGCCCAGAAUGAGAAGAGUUAUUAAUCCCCAUUGUUGGCAUGUGAUGGGCCAAUUUAAUGUGCUCAGAAACUUCAUUAUGGCUUCCAUUCACAAGUAUCUCUUCAUUUGUGUACUUUUCUCCUCUUAUGUCUCUUUAUUUUUGUUUUUGUGCUAUGAAAACUCCCCUCAUACUAUCUACAUCUGGAGUUAAGAGUGCAUCUUUAUGAGUAACAUCUUGUGUACCCUCUUGUAUGUGGAUCAUUAUAAAAAUAGAAGAGGGUGUACAUAUAGCUUGGAACUCUUCUAGAAUCUCCACCUCUCGACGUUGCAGGUCCCCAUAAAAUCGGCGAAGCAAGGAAACAUGAAACAAAUGAUGUAUUUUGGUAGUGAAUGGAAGGUUGAGCUCAUAAGCCACCGUCACCACACACUUUUUGAUCCGAAAGGGCCCAUAAUAUGAUUUGCCCAGCUUCUGAUAAGUCCAACAUGUCACAGACUGUUGUCUUUAUGGUUGUAGUUUCAACAAAACCUAAUCUCUAGGUAUGAAUGUAAUAUCACAUCUCCUUGAGUCCACUUGAGAUUUUCAUCCUCUGUUGUGCAUGUCUAAGAUGUUUUUUAACUAUUCUAACAUCCUUUUUCGGGUGAGCAGGGCCUCAUUGAUCUGUGAGUUUUCUGAAGAACCAGCUAUGUAGUCACUGACAGUGGGUGGACUUCGGCGGUAGAGAGCUGUGAAUGUAGAGACAUGCAGUGAAGAGUGAUGACUAGUAUUGUACUAGUAUUUGUGAAGAAAAUCUUUGCUCCUGACCUUGACACGGUUUUGGUGAAGACACCAACAUCACCAAAAAAAAAAAAAUGAAGAAUGAUUAUGAAGACAAAGCUUCAAGACAAAUUAGUAUAAGUCUAAAUAAGUACUUCUAUCAUAUACUCUCACAUAUAAAAUAGUAGUAACGCUCAAACUAUUUUUUAAGAAAAUUGAAACACUUCAAGUAUAAACAAAACAAUUUUAAAAAAUAGUGUGUAACAGGUUAUUGUAUCUAACUUACAGGUUACAUAAGUGAGAAAACCAGUUACCCAACAAAAACUGUGCAGGGUAAUCGAUUACUGUAUGUGAGUAACAUAUUACCCAGUUUUAGCAAAGUUGAGUAAUCGAUUACUCAAGGCUGUAAUUGAUUACUCUAAUUAAAUUUUAAAUGCCCAGUUGGACAGAGAGUUUGGGUAAUCAAUUACUCAAGGCUGUAACUGAUUACUAAAAGUUGUUGUAUCUGUUUUCAUAUUUCAAAAUGAAUGGUUUUCAUCCCAAACAAAAUGGUUUCAUUCCAAUCAAUUCCUACCCUUUUAAAGAAGUGUUAUGGCUGGUUGGAAAGCCUAUUUAAAGACAUUGAAACUCAGAAUCAAAUCAUAGUUGUUUUUAUUGUAAUUUAGCUUUGGGCCCAUUAUUUAGGCCCAAUUCAGUUUUAUGUGUGUAGAGGGGUUAAAUUCGGGUUCCCCACUCCAAACACACAGACACACACUUCAUUUUCCCCUCAUUUUUGAAAUACACUACAUUUCCGUUUUUCCUCUUUUUGCUCUACUAGGGUUUCACUUCUUCUUCAUUUUUCAUUUUCGGUUUAUUCUUCCAUUGCCGUGGAAGGCUAGAUUUCUGGACUAAGUUCCUUUGGUAAUGUAUCCCAACUCUUGAGGUUUUUUUAUUAAUGCAUUUUCGAUUUUUUGUUGUUGAUUUCUUCUAUCUUAUUUCUGAAUAUGGUUUGCUUAAUUCCAUUGCUCAGAAACUGUUUGGUUGAGUUUAUCUUCACUUAGUUGAUUUACUCUCUCUAGUGUAUGAAUGCUUAAUUCAUGUGAAUUUGUUAAUCGUUUCAUGCUUAUACUGAUUUCGCCUAGUUAGAGGUUUAGGUUCUGGAACUUUUAAUUGAUUAUCGCUUAGUUAAUUGAUUCUCAACAAAUUCGGAAGUUAAUGGUUGGAAUCUGAAAAUAAUCUUUUGAAACCGAUGAUUGAGUUGUGAACAAACGAACCAAAGGGAUUUAGCCAUUUUAUUACAUUGCUUAACUACUGUUUCAGAAUUUUAUUUAUGUUCAUACUAUCCAACAACAAAAAUCUCCUUGUGUGUGUGUGAGUAUAAGGUGUUUGAAGCUUUGCUUGAAAGAUAAUCCCUGGGAAAUGACCUAAGAGUCACAUCCUAGUACUGCAGUUUUAAUUGUUAUAUUAUUUGUAUCGGGUACGACCUCGAUCAAAUUUGGCGCCGCUGCUAGGGAUUAUCGGUUCUUCUCAAAGGUUCUUAGUAUAGAUUAAUGUGUGUCUUAGAAUAACCAUUAUGUUUGGGUUUCAAAAUCUGCCUAUAGCAUUCACUAUUUGCUAUCUUGUUUAGUUAUUUGCCUGUUGGUUGAUACACGUGUAUGUUGGUUAAUAUAGUUGUGGUUAGAAUUUUUGAAUGAAACUUUGUUUCUACACUUCUUUCAUGACAUAUUGAAUAUUGGAUGCAUCAUAGUCAAUCACCUUGCUGCUGGUUGUGAGAUACAAACAAGUAGCGACUAGUUUUACUGUUGAUUUUCUAUUUUGGGCAUAACUUUGAAAUCGUUUAUCAGAAUUGGACAUAUUAUAUAUGCAUUUGGGGUACAAACCCACCCUGAAAAUCCAAAAAGAACAAAAAGAGUUUGUAGAACCCACCCUGAAAAUCCAGAAAGAGUAUGUUUACUAUUUCUUUUUUAUUUUACAAGUUUAUUUUUCCAAUUGUUUUGAUUUUGUUGCAUUUAAUUAAAUUAGUUAGAUUUUGAGUUUUGUCCUGAAAUUUUUUGUGGAUGUUUCCUACGGUAUUAGGAUUCCAUUGGUGCAAGGUUUUGGUUGAUCACUAAAAUUUAACAUGUAUUUCACUUAGUGCCCUACAUUGUUCUUACUGUUGCAUUUAGUGCACGACUAGGGGAAAUCCUAACUCUUUGCAUCCAAUAAAUCCUAAAAUUGAUAGAACAUUUCAUAGUUUAUUUAGACAAGUUAGGAAUUUAAAUUUAGAUAGUGAGUCUUUUCAUCUUAGUGUUAAUCUACCUGAUAGUGAUAUUGAUUCUGCUGUUUCUAUGCAUUCUGUUGCAUACUCUGAAAAUAUAGCUAAACCACCUCCAAUACCACGUGAGAGGACAUUAAGGGAGCUGGCUGCACCUGAUUUCACAUACGAAAGCUUGUGUAUCCAGUAUCCCAAUGAGGAUGUGCCAUAUGUGCUCAAAACUGGACUAAUCCAUUUGUUGCCUAAGUUUCAUGGACUUGCAGGUGAAUGUCCUGAUAAGCAUCUUAAGGAGUUCCGCAUUGUAUGUUCCACCAUGAAACCUCGUGAUGUCCAAGAAGAUCAUGUAUGUUUGAAGGCAUUCCCAUAUCCACUUGAGGGCGCUUUGAUAAGUGCCAAACAUACCUAAAAACCAUACACUUUUAUGACACUUAUCUUAAGCAUAAUUGAGAAAAACAAACUUAAAACAAUACUUCUUGUAUAAAAUAUCAUAGUUUGGUAUAUUUGUGUUUGUAUUGCCUUUUUAAAUAUUUUUUAGGAAAUAAAAUGAAGAAAAUAAGAGCAAAGAUUCAUGGUCAAAAAGCAACAAAAGUCAAGAAAAUCAAGGUGCUCAACUAGACAGCUGAGCGUGGAACAAGCACCGCUGAGCUGACCUGGCCACCUUCCUGACCUGGACUAAACUGCUCAACCAGGGAGCUGAGCGGACCUGCUUAGCCGCUCAGCCUAGCACCAGACUAAGCUUGGCACGAUCAGAAAUAUGCUUGACAUGGUCAGACACAAGCUUGGCAAAAGACCAAACUGCUGAACAAGCUGCUCAAUGGUCCAACCAAGCUGCUCAGCGGAUCAACCAAGCUGCUCAGCGGAGAACCAGACUCCUGGCCAGAUCAGCAAGCGCCAAGCCACGUCCCAGUCAACACGGUCAGAAGCUGCUGAACAAGCAACUCAACGGUGAAGCAGGUGCGUUGGGCGGUGCUUACCAGACUUGACUUAACCAUCAAGCAAACCAUGAAGUCAUCCAUGACCUCACCUCAAGUAGCCCACCAUAGGAUUUUCAGAAGUAGCUCACAAUAGCUUGUCUCGUAGCCCAAAACUAGCUUUGGUGAGUCAUACACAAAGGUGACUAAGCUACUUGGUCAAGGAACCAAACCCAUGAUGAAGGGUUUGGUCAACUGCUUAGCGGUCCAGCUAAGCAGCUCAACGGUCUGGCAUGUGGCCUAUAAAUAGAGGCCAAUUCCUUCAAGCAAAACAGAUUGGAAUACACCAUUUCUUCAUAAAAUCCUCUCAAAAAACACUUGAAGGCCAUAAUUCUCUCAUCUAGGAAUUCUUUCUUCAUUUCGUAGUUUAGAGUUCAAGAGGAGAAAAAGAGAAGGCAAAUGAGAUACAAAAAUCAAUUUUGUACUCNNNNNNNNNNNNNNNNNNNNNNNNNNNNNNNNNNNNNNNNNNNNNNNNNNNNNNNNNNNNNNNNNNNNNNNNNNNNNNNNNNNNNNNNNNNNNNNNNNNNUACAAAAGUGAUGAAACUAACUUACUAACUUUUAUUUAUUGUUAUUUACUUUCCGCAUUUUAUUUAUUCUUUAAUACCAACCUUCCUUAAGGAAGAAGUUUGGUUUGUUAAAUAAAAUGAACCCGAAAGGGAGUAAAUAAAUAAAGUCACUAAAUUUAUUAUUCUUUUGUUCUUUAUUUAUUUAUUUGUAUCUAACAACUAAUUAUUCAUCACUUUUAUAUAUUAGAAUACCAUUAAACCGGUGUUGGAAUUUAUUCCACAAAACCGAGAUGGUAUUCAAAGGUACUUAAUAAUUAUGUAAUAGGUAAUUGCUUCGAUAUCAUUAUACCGGCGUUAGAAUUUAUUCUAACAAAGCCGAGAUGGGGCAAAGAAGGAAUGACUUAUUCACAUGAUUAUUAAGAAAGUAAGUUGUAACUGGAAUAUUCUUGAAACCAUUAUACCGUCGUUGGAAUUUAUUUCAACAAAGCCGAGAUGGCGAACAAAGAAUAAAACCGAGUUCUCUUACUUACAAAAGUAAGCUGUCAGGAUGAUUUGUUGAGAGGAGAAAACUCCUAAUUAAAAUAAGCACCGAAUAACGCUUUCAACAUGCUUCAAAAGAUUGGUUGUAUUACUUGGCCCCUGGUUCUAUUACUGGUUGGGGUGACUUGAAGAGAAUCUUCCUUGAAAAAUUCUUUCUUGCCUCCAGGACCACUGCAAUCAGAAAGGAUAUUUCUGGAAUCAGACAACUACAUGUAGAAGGUUUAUAUGAAUAUUAGGAGAGAUUCAAGAGACUAUGUGCAAGCUGCCCCCAUCAUCAGAUCUCGAACAACUCCUCCUGAAAUAUUUCUUGGAAGGUCUGAACAACAUGGAGACGAAUAUCAUUGAUUCUGCUAGUGGUGGUACACUUGGAGAUAUGAUCCCUUUUGAGGCUAGAAUUUUUAUUGAGAAGAUGUCUUCCAACUCUCAACAGUUCAGUGCAAGAAGUAGUGAUGCUAUAGUGGUCAGAGGUGUCCAUGAUGUUGGGACACAUUUGGUAAGACAAGAUAAACUUGAGAAAAAAAUUGACUCCCUUGCUACCUUGGUCACUCAACUUGCCAUGAAUCAGCAGAAAUUUCCACUUGCAGCACGCGUUUGUGGCAUUUGCACCGCAACUGACCAUUAUGCUGAUGUUUGUCCUUCUCUCUUGGAGCCCAAAACUGGUGACCAUCCUGAGGCCUAUGCAGCAAAUAUUUAGAACAACAUACCUCAAUAACAACAACAAAAUUAUGAUCCUUCAUCAAGCAGAUACAACCCUGGUUGGAGGAAUCGUCUGAAUCUUAGAUGGUCUGAUCCUUCACAGCCUCAUCCAGGGCCACCAUUUCAGAAUAAUAAUACUGCACAAAAUAGACCAUAUGUGUCUUCUCCAAUCCAACAGUAGAGGCAACAACAAGUUAAUAGUAAUCCUGCUUCUGCAUCUAGUGAACCUUCAUUAGAAGAAUUGGUGAGGCAAAUCACAUUGCAGAAUAUGUAAUUCCAGCAAGAGACCAGAGCUUCCAUUCAGAAUUUGACCACCUAGAUGGGACAGAUGGCUACUUCAUUCAACACAUUACACUCUCAGAAUUCUGAUAAGUUACCUUCCUAGACUGUGGUCAACCCGAAGAAUGUGGGUGACAUCACGCUAAGGUCAGGUAAACAGAUUGAAGUUGAUCUAAGUGCAUCAAAAAUGAAGCAACCAGUUUUACAAGAGACUAAGAACACUAGUGAACAAAUUCUUGCUAGUGACCCUUCCACAAGUACUGCACAACCAUCUUCCAUUCCUCUUCCAUUUCCCCCAAGAGCCUUUCAAAGUAAGAAGAUGGAAGAGGUAGACAAGGAGAUCUUGCACACAUUUAGAAAGGUAGAGGUGAACAUACCUUUACUUGAUGCAAUCAAACAAAUUCCAAGAUAUGCAAAAUUUCUAAAGGAGUUGUGCACUCACAAGAGGAGGCUCAAAGGUAAUGAGAGGAUCACUAAUAGGUAAACCUAUUCCUCACAUUCCUGAAAAAUGUAAGGACCCAGGUACAUUUGAUGUACCUUGCAUAAUAGGUAAUAGAAAAUUUGAGAAUGUCAUGCUAGAUCUAGGUGCUUCGAUUAAUGUUAUGUCUAUGUCUGCUUUCAUGCUUAUUUCACUUGGACCUAUGCAACCCACUAGGGUAGGGAUUCAAUUAGCAAACAUGAGUACUUCCUACCCUUCUGGUUUGGUAGAGGAUGUCUUGGUUCGGGUUGGUUAAAUUAUUUUUCCGGCUGAUUUUUAUAUUCUCGAUAUAGAAGAGAGAUCCUCCCGCAACAUAGUUCCUAUCAUUUUGGGGAGGCCAUUUUUUAGAACAGCCCGAACUAAGAUAGAUGUCCAUGCUGGAACGUUAUCUAUGCAGUUUGGUGAUAUUGUAGUCCGGAUUAAUAUUUUUGAUGCUAUGAAGCAUCCAUCUGAGGACCAUUAUGUGUUUCGUAUUGAUUUACUUGAUGACUUAACUAAUGAGCAUAUAUGUGAUUUUCUUAAUGAUUUUGAUUCUAUGUCAUUGAAUGACUCAUACACUUGUCAUACACUUGUGUAAUUCUUGUUUUGUUGAUCCGAAUGUUGUAGAAUCAGAUUGCACUAACCCUAUUGUUGCAGACAUCAUACAACAAUCUGAUUUACUUGUCUAGGGGCAAGUUGCAGAAUCUAUGUCUACUACUUUGGUUCCAUCUGUUUUGUAGGCACCUAUAUUGGAGAUUAAACCUUUGCCUGAAAACCUCAAGUAUGCUUACUUAGAGGAUGAUGAGAAGCUUCCUGUUAUUGUUUCCACCUCCCUUGAUGUUGAUCAAGAGGAGAAGUUGUUGCAAGUGCUGAAGAAGCAUAAGAAGGCAAUUGGUUGGACCUUAGCUGAUAUUCCUAGUAUUAGCCCAUCUAUGUGUAUGCAUAGGAUACUCUUAGAAGAUGGAACUAAAACAGUGAGACAACCACAAAAGACACUCAAUCCAGUCAUCCUUGAGGUUGUGAAGAAAGAGGUCACAAAGCUUUUACAAGCUGGGAUUAUAUAUCCCAUUUCUGAUAGUCAUUGGGUGAGCCCAAUUCAAGUGAUUCCAAAGAAGACAGAAAUUACAGUGGUGAGGAAUGAGAGAGAUGAGUUGAUUUCUACGAGAGUGCAGUACAGUUGGAGAGUCUUCAUUGAUUAUAGGAGGCUCAACCAAGCAACAAGAAAGGAUCACUUUCCUUUACCGUUUAUUGAUCAGAUGCUUGAGCGCUUAGCAGGUAAAUAUCAUUACUGUUUUCUUGAUGGUUUUUUUGGGUACUUCCAGAUCCAUAUUGCUCCUGAGGAUCAGAAGAAGACCACAUUCACCUGCCCCUUUGGAACUUUUGCCUAUAGGAGGAUGCCUUUUGGCUUAUGUAAUGCCCGUGGUACAUUCCAGCGGUGUAUAGUGAGCAUUUUCAGCGAUUUUUUAGAGAAUUGCAUAGAGUUGUUUAUGGAUGAUUUCAGAGUUUAUGGAUCUUCAUUUAAUGCAUGUUUGGAUAGUCUGGAUAGAGUUCUUCAUAAAUGCAUCGAAACUAACCUUGUUCUGAAUUACAAACAAUGUCAUUUCAUGGUAGAGCAAGGCAUAGUUUUAGGGCAUGUGGUCUCAAAUAGGGGAAAUGAGGUAGACCCUGCCAAGAUAGAUGUUAUUUAACAAUUGCCUUACCGCUCUUGCGUGUGAGAGGUUCAUUCUUUUCUUUGUCUUCCACUAUCAAACCUGUUGCAAAAAGAGGUGGUCUUUGAUUCUGACGAGAGAUGUAUGGAAGAAUUUGAUUGCCUCAAGACAACCUUGACCACCACUCCUAUUAUCCAGGCACCUGAUUGGACAGUCCCUUUUGAGCUGAUGUGUGAUGCUUCUAAUUAUGCAUUGGGGGUUGUCCUUGCUCAAAAAGUGGACAAACUGCCUACGGUAAUUUAUUAUUCUUCCAGGACCUUAGAUGUUGCACAAGCAAAUUACACCAUAACUGAAAAAGAGCUUUUAGCUAUUGUAUUUGCUUUGGAUAAGUUUAGGUCUUAUUUGCUUGGUUCUAGAAUUGUUGUUUUCACAGACCAUGUAGCUUUGAAGUUCCUAUUGAAGAAAGCUAAUUCCAAACCAAGGUUGAUUAGAUGGAUGCUCGUGCUCCACGAGUUUGAUUUGGAGAUCUGUGACAGGAGUGGAGCACAAAAUUUGGUGGCUGACCACUUGAGCAGGAUUGAGGGAGUUGUUGAUAUGAUGCCCAUCAGAGAUGAUUUUCCUGAUGAACAACUUUUGAAAAUUUCUGUUUCUUUCCCCACCCCUUAGUUUGCCAAUAUUGUAAAUUAUUUGGUUCCAUUUGUUUUUCCUCCACUUGCAUCUAGAGCUCAAAAUGAUAAACUUAAGAGUGAUGCUAAAUAUUAGGUUUGGGAUGAUCCCUAUUUGUGGAGAUUGUGUACUGACCAGGUUACUAUAAGAUGUAUUCCAGAUCAUGAGAUUGAGUCAGUCCUUCAGUUUUGCCAUUCUUCUACAGUGGGUGGCCAUCUUGGUACCCAAAGGAGAACACGAAAGGUACUUGACUCUGGAUUUUAUUGGCCCACCAUCUUCAAAGAUGCGUGGAGGAUUUGUACUACUUGUGAGCAAUGUUAGAGAGCGGGUGGUACCAUUUCUUGGAGACAAGAGAUGCCCCAACAACCUAUGUUAUUUUGCGAGGUGUUUGAUGUCUGGGGUUUUGAUUUCAUGGGUCCAUUUCCUGUUUCUUUUGGCUUUUACUAUAUUCUACUUUCUGUUGAUUAUGUUUCUAAAUGGGUGGAAGCUAAGGCCACCAGGACUAAUGAUGCUCGGGUUGUUAUGNNNNNNNNNNNNNNNNNNNNNNNNNNNNNNNNNNNNNNNNNNNNNNNNNNNNNNNNNNNNNNNNNNNNNNNNNNNNNNNNNNNNNNNNNNNNNNNNNNNNUUUUUUGCAGGUUUGGCAUACCCAGAGCCAUUGUUAGUGACCAAGGCACCCACUUUUGCAAUAGAUCCAUGCAAGCUAUGCUCAAGAAAUAUGGGGUUUUUCAUAGAGUUUCCACACCUUAUCACCCCCAAUGUAAUGGGCAAGUUGAGAUUUCAAACAGGAAGAUAAAGAGGAUUUUGAAGAAGAUAGUGCAGCCUAACAGAAAAGAUUGGAGCAACGGACUUGAGGAUGCUCUUUGAACACAUAGGACUUCUUAUAAGGCACCCAUAGGGAUGUCCCCUUAUCAGGUUAUCUUUGGUAAAACAUGUCAUCUUCCUGUAGAGAUAGAACAUCGUGCAUAUUAGGCUGUGAAAACUUGUAACUUGGCUCUUGAUCAAGCUGGUGAAGAAAGAAAGCUCCAAUUGAAGAUCCUCUUAGAAGCCUAUGAGAACUCUAAGUUCUACAAAGAGAAGACCAAAAGAUUCCAUGAUAACUUGAUUUCUAGAAAGAAAUUUUUGGUUGGUCAAAAAGUGUUGUUGUACAACUCUAGGCUUGGACUCAUGAGUGGUAAGCUUUGUUCUAGGUGGAUUGGUCCUUUUGUUGUUAGUAAUGUUUUUUCUUAUGGUGCUAUAGAAAUCAAAAGUGAAUCCACAUAUAAGAGCUUCAUGAUUAAUGAGCAUCGCCUCAUGCCUUUCCUCACAAAUCCUUCCUUAGUGGAUGAACUUGUGGAGGAGGACUCAUUGGUUGAACCCACUUUCCUCCCUCCAUGAAUAAGGGAUUUUUCCUUUCUUUUCUCUAAUUUUUAUUGCACUUGUCCAAUUCNNNNNNNNNNNNNNNNNNNNNNNNNNNNNNNNNNNNNNNNNNNNNNNNNNNNNNNNNNNNNNNNNNNNNNNNNNNNNNNNNNNNNNNNNNNNNNNNNNNNUACUUUUUAUUGCACUUGUCCAAUUCCAUUGAUUGAUAUGUAUGUCUGCAUUUUCUGAUUGUACCACAUUGGGAUAAUGUGUAGUUUAAGUGUAGGGGGAGACUAUUGUAGGUUGUAUGUUUUGUUGAUGCAUGCCUUUCUUUGACUUUUAGGUUUUGCUUAGUUUUGAGAAUUUUCUCCCAUACUUUCAUUCACUUAAGUCUUGAUAUCUUGUGGUGUGAAUCCAUGCAUUUCUGUAUGUCAAGUUGCUUUUGAGAAUUAAGAGGUUGAAACAAUUGUGAUAGACUUGUCCCUNNNNNNNNNNNNNNNNNNNNNNNNNNNNNNNNNNNNNNNNNNNNNNNNNNNNNNNNNNNNNNNNNNNNNNNNNNNNNNNNNNNNNNNNNNNNNNNNNNNNAGCUCAUUACAAGCUUAUAAGUGAAAAACCAUGAUUGUCCUAACCUUAGGGAAUUUUGGAGCUUUGGAAUUGUUUUGGGAAUGGGUAUUAAGUAAGAAAGGGUGCAUUGUUCUUCAAAUCUUGUGAAUUCUUGGUUAUGUCUUAAUGAUGGUUAAUACAAUUGCGUACAUAAGUUUUCUUUAAAAGUGAGAAAAAGGUUGAGUAAGGCAAAGAAGAUUGGAAUUAGAUAUUUGGUCUUAUUUUGGGUUGAUUUUUUCUUACUUUUUUCUCAUUCCCCAUUGCUACUCUAUUCCAUUUGGUUUUACCUACAUAUCCCAUAUUUAUCCUACCUUAUCAUUGGCCCCAUCACAACCUUGAAAAGUCCUUUUGAUCUUUAUGUGCAUGUGCUUAUGAUGUUGAUGUUAGAGGCUUGUCAAGCUUAUGGUUGUAUUUGUUUUCAUGAAGUGCUUUGAGUGUAAACACUAGCAACGUAAGACACAUGAGUGUAAACACUUUAGAGAGUAUAUCUUGUGAGAUUCUAUCAUUGUUGUGACUCGCCUCUUGGUUUGAUUGGUUUCUUGGCAUACUUGAAUUCAUUGGAUGAUGUUCAUGGAUAGCGUGAUAUGAUUCUUUUACUCUUGUGUGUUUGAUUUUGCCCAUUUCAUUGCAGUUCCUAGAUUUCAUUGUGAAGUAUGUGAUUUUUUUAAGUUUCUAGUUUUUGUGAUCUUCUUGCAUGACUCACUUUGGUGCAUAUUGGUUAGCAUAGCCUUAUUUCUUGAUUUUGCCCAAGAGUGCAAAAGGUUAAGUGUGGGGGUAUUUGAUGAGCAAUAUAUUACACACUAUUCAUAACCUUAAUUUAGCAUGAUUGAUGAUUCUUGGUGCCUAAUUGACUUUGUUUCACAUGGUUUAGUGUUUUAGACUUUAUUGGACUAAUAUUCCUAAAAUGAGUUAAUUUGGGAUUAUUUGGCCUGAUUAAGUAUUAACAUUUUCAUAUCACAUUUGGCACCAAUGGCAUUUCGGGUAUUAUGGAAGUCGAAGAUAUGUGUUGAAGUGAAGAUUGUAUUUUUAUUUUAGGAGUUGUUUUUAUUUUAAUUUAACUCUGGGCCCAUUGUUUAGGCCCAAUUCGGUUUUAUGUGUGUUGGAGGAGUUAAAUUCGGGUUCUCCACUCCAAACACACACACACUUCAUUUUUCCCUCAUUUUUUAAAUACACUACAUUUCCGUUUUCCCUCUGUUUGCUCUGCUAGGGUUUCACUUCUUCUUCAUUUUUCAUUUUCGGUUUCUUCUUCUAUUGCCAUAGAAGGCUAAAUUUCUGGACUAAGUUCCUUUGGUAAUGUAUCACAACUCUCGAGGUUUUGUUAUUAAUGCAUUUUCGGUUUCUUUAUUGUUGAUUUCUUCUAUCUUAUUUCUGAAUAUGGUUUGCUUAAUUCCAUUGCUUAGAAACUGGUUGGUUGAGUUUAUCUUCACUUAGUUGAUUUACUCUCUGUAGUUAAUGAAUGCUUAGUUCGUGUGAAUUUGUUAAUCGUUUCAGGCUUAUACUGAUUUCGCCUAGUUAGAGGUUUAGGUUCUGGAACUCUGAAAUGAUUAUCGCUUAGUUAAUUGAUUCUCAACAAAUUCGGAAGUUAAUGGUUGGAAUCCGAAAAUAAUAUUUUGAAACCGAGGAUUGAGUUGUGAAUAAACGAACCAAAGGGAUUUAGCCAUUACAUUGUUUAACUAUUGUUUCUGAAUUUGAUUUAUGUUCAUACUAUCUAAAAACAAAAAACCCCUUGUGUGUGUGAGUAUAAGGUGUUUGAAGCUUUGCUUGAAAGAUAAUCCUUGGGAAACGACCUA
rnacentral:lncRNA from 1 species